CUAAACCGCUAACGAGAAGAUGAUGACUAUGAUGAGUUUUCUUAUUAUUCCCUUGCCCAGGCCCAGUAACAUGCGACAGUGCUAUCUCAUUUACUACGAUACAAUUAGACAGUGUGUGCGUUUUAGGUAUUGACAGCCUCUUAAGACUGCGUCAACCGUCCAGUGGCGCCCUCAUUAGUGGAAUUGUGUUUUAUAAUAAACCAAUUAAUGUCUGUACCUAAUAUACAUGAAUCAGUAUAUGUAGGUAUUAAUAUUGUUGUCCUACUUAUUCCCCAACUUUUGGUCUUUGUCCGAAGUACCAUUUCGUAAGUUUCGGCCCGGCCG